rnacentral:rRNA from 1 species
GUACGGGAGGCAGCAGUGGGGAAUAUUGGACAAUGGGCGCAAGCCUGAUCCAGCAAUGCCGCGUGAGUGAAGAAGGCCUUAGGGUUGUAAAGCUCUUUCGGCGGGGACGAUGAUGACGGUACCCGCAGAAGAAGCCCCGGCUAACUCCGUGCCAGCAGCCGCGGUAAUACGGAGGGGGCUAGCGUUGUUCGGAAUUACUGGGCGUAAAGGGCGCGUAGGCGGUGCGAUAAGUCAGGCGUGAAAGGCCCGGGCUCAACCCGGGGACUGCGCUUGAUACUGUUGCGCUGUGAGUCCGGGAGAGGAUGGCGGAAUUCCCAGUGUAGAGGUGAAAUUCGUAGAUAUUGGGAAGAACACCGGUGGCGAAGGCGGCCAUCUGGACCGGCACUGACGCUGAGGCGCGAAAGCGUGGGGAGCAAACAGGAUUAGAUACCCGGGUAGUCC